rnacentral:misc_RNA from 1 species
GUACUCUCACACUCUCACUCUUUGGAGUGGAGCGGUGGACUUGGGUGUUGCUGCUUUACCGCGGCUCACCUCAAAUGGAGUAGUGCACCUCUCGGUUGGACAUAGUACGGCGUGAUAAGUGUCUUCGCCGGCGCCUCAUUAGAGGGUGGCCGAUCGGGAGCUCUGUGCUUCAAACCGUCCUCGGACAACAACUGACA